rnacentral:lncRNA from 1 species
CGGCUAUCGAGGAGGGGAUGACACUUCCUUUUGCCUACAAAUUGACACACCUAUCGACCACUUGACCCAUUAUCGGUUUCCAGGUCACAGAGAGGACAAAGGAGAGAGGACGAUCUUUUGUCCAAACGAGAAUCUCCCAAGGAAAUGGACAUAGUGAUCAAUUCCUAGUUCAUGAGGAAUGACUGUGUGGGGGUGGACCCGGAACGAGGAGAGGAGCAGCACAAUAGAAGACUGAAGAGAAAAAUAGACUUGGAGAAAUGAGAAUAAAGUGAAGGGUCAAAUCCAUAAGAGACCAAAUAGAAAC